rnacentral:rRNA from 1 species
UACAGAGGGUGCGAGCGUUGUCCGGAAUCACUGGGCGUAAAGCGCACGUAGGCGGAUCUUUAAGUCGGUGGUGAAAUCCUGGAGCUCAACUCCAGAACUGCCUUCGAUACUGAGGAUCUCGAGUCCGGGAGAGGUGAGUGGAACUGCGAGUGUAGAGGUGAAAUUCGUAGAUAUUCGCAAGAACACCAGUGGCGAAGGCGGCUGACUGGUCCGGUUCUGACGCUGAGGCGCGAAAGCGUGGGGAGCAAACAGG